rnacentral:rRNA from 1 species
UAGGAAUAUUGCGCAAUGGGCGGAAGCCUGACGCAGCGACGCCGCGUGGGGGAUGACGGCCUUCGGGUUGUAAACCUCUUUCGACUUCGACGAAGUCCAUCUUUGGGUGGGUGACGGUAGGGGUGGAAGAAGCACCGGCCAACUACGUGCCAGCAGCCGCGGUAACACGUAGGGUGCGAGCGUUGUCCGGAAUUAUUGGGCGUAAAGAGCUCGUAGGCGGUGUGUCGCGUCGGCCGUGAAAACCUGCAGCUUAACUGUGGGCGUGCGGUCGAUACGGGCAUCACUGGAGUUCGGCAGGGGAGACUGGAAUUCCUGGUGUAGCGGUGAAAUGCGCAGAUAUCAGGAGGAACACCGGUGGCGAAGGCGGGUCUCUGGGCCGAUACUGACGCUGAGGAGCGAAAGCGUGGGGAGCGAAC